UUCAACAAGAAGAAUGGCUGUGGCUGUGGUCCAUUUGUGCCUUCAGCUUUGAACUUGCCGUUGCAUGGUUGGCUUACCAGUUUGCUAGGUGACCCUUUCUGGCGUUGCAACAGUUGAGUUGAUCCAUUUCCGUUGCUGUGGUUGUUGCACUGUCUUCUUUCAUCACUGAUUGUAUGUGAAAUCAAGGGUACAAUGACUAGCUGGAUUAUUGAGGACAAGGCAUGAAAGACCAGUGGUAAUGAUUGAUGGUACAUGUCGCAUGCGGCAAGCGGGCUAUUGCCAACUGGUCUUUCAAAUAUCAUCUGAUCCACAUAUGCCAAGUAUGGGACAUGCUGGCAUCAAUUGGGGCAUGCAGCCCGUCAAGGUUCGUGGAUGUUGUAUAUGAGUUACUGGAAGUGAAGGAAAAAAUUUUCUGGCGUGUACAUCUCUUCUGAGAUCAUCAACAUGUAUAUAACCAGAAAUUUGUAAAGGUUUCGUUUACCAUGCAAGCAUGUACAGGGCGUAUGUUUGCUUUCUUGUAAAUUUUGAGUGCUAUUUUUGAAAGCGGGGCAGGCUCUAAAACCAGGAAGCCUACAAUUUCACCCAGUUUCCUGUUGUAUUUCGUUUUGGAUUUAUUUUGGACCAGUAAUUUUUCAUAAUAAAAUCCAGUGAAAGUAUGGUUUGGGUGGUCU